UGGGGAAUAUUGCACAAUGGGCGCAAGCCUGAUGCAGCAACGCCGCGUGAAGGAAGACGGUUUUCGGAUUGUAAACUUCUGUUCUUAGUGAAGAAGAAUGACGGUAGCUAAGGAGCAAGCCACGGCUAACUACGUGCCAGCAGCCGCGGUAAUACGUAGGUGGCAAGCGUUGUCCGGAAUUACUGGGUGUAAAGGGAGCGCAGGCGGGGGAAACAAGUCAGUUGUGAAAUCCAUGGGCUUAACCCGUGAACUGCAGUUGAAACUGUUCUUCUUGAGUGAAGUAGAGGUUGGCGGAAUUCCGAGUGUAGCGGUGAAAUGCGUAGAUAUUCGGAGGAGCACCGGUGGCGAAGGCGGCCAACUGGGCUUUUACUGACGCUGAGGCUCGAAAGUGUGGGGAGCAAACAGGAUUAGAUACCC
rnacentral:rRNA from 1 species